GCCACCUGGCAGUGUGUGAUGGGGGCCGCAGGUCCAAACUCAAGAAAGCUCUCGACGACCAGGUCCCCGAAGAAAAACGCUACUUCGGCUUCGAGAAUAUCGGCAACACUUGCUACUGCAACACCCUUUUACAGGCAGGAUUGGGAGAAACUAAAGGGAUCGCUAUAUUGGUGGUUGAAGAAGGUUCUAUCAGAAUAUCCUGAGGCAAAGAUGACGGACGAAAAGCCCUAGGAGAAACAUAUUCAGAGCUGGUUUGUUGAAGGUCUAUAUCAAAUUUUUUUUACUAAGAAACAAUAUAAAGUAUCUACCAAUAAUCUCUACUUUUGCUAUUGUAUCUUAACAUUGUCUUUUAAUCUUCAUAUAUUAAUAAAAUAUGCUAAGAUACUAAAUUUUGGUUCUAGCAAUAAUGAUGCUCUAAGAAGUUGAAAAAUGUAUAAAUUACAAACGUGAGUAUUAACUCUUAUUUUUGCAAAA